CCUCCAUUCAAGCUCUUGUUUGAAAGACGUCGACUGCUGGUGCUUGGCCUUGAGCUUGACCCGAUCAAAUUUUCUUGCUCAACUUCUACAUGGCUUGGGACCUUCUUUUCCUGUGUUGUAGAAGCCAGCUCAUGACACGAUAGAUGGAUGAAAAAUAUACCCGUCCUGGGAGUGAUCGUUCACCAAGGGACAGAAGAAGAUGGGUGAAUUCAGCUUCAGAUUCCGCCAGCUCUUGAUGCAGGCGAGCUCUUGAUAUGUUUGCAUUGUCAACUUUUCUCCUAUAAACCUCUAAGCACUCUUGUUCUAAAUCCAGCAGGACCUUCUCUCGUUCAAACUGAUCUUCCCCAACUUCUUCCCAUAUCAUCUGUUUCAUAUUAAGAGGAAGGGAAAGAGAUCGUGAAGAAAAAAGCAAUGCUGUUAUUGAUUGAUAAAUUAAUAUCAUUGAUUUCCAAGAGGCAGUCUUGCCUGCAAUUCCUGAAGUAGAUAUCCACAUGAUGUUUCUAGUAAUGCAGAGCUCCGCAUUCCAAUCUGGAACGAACCCAUCUGAUGGCUUCUUAGGUGUUGCUGGAAGAGAUAUUUGGGUUACCAAAAUGCAGAAGCUCUGGGAGAGGUUCUUGGACUUCUAAACUUCGAUAGCAUUCUGUUCUGAGUUACUUGUUAAGCAACCUAGUUUUGAGAGGGAGUGAGAAGAGAGAGAAUGAUGGCUGGGAACUUUGGUGCGUGUAUUUGCUUAAAAGGUAAGGCUGAAGAAGUAGGUAACACUGAAGCUUUGGGUUCAAGGAUUAGCCAGUUCUAUCUACUAUUGAUUCUCAGGUUAUGUCUUUCUUGUGCUCUUAUAUCAAUUUAAGGUGGUAAAAAUUUCUCUUAAUUAACACAUAGUCGGAGUUUCUUGUUCAGACCUCUAUUUGGCAGCAGUUAACUGAACCUUUUCCUUUUUUUUUUAUUAUGAUUAUGAUUUUUGAUUUUUGAUUUUUGUUUUGUGAACUUGAUUCAUCAGCAAUCUAUGCCAAAUGAAAAUAACAACAGCGUGCAUCCCUUGUUUAAGUUCUGGAAUAA